rnacentral:tRNA from 1 species
GAUGUAGCUCAGUGGUAGAGUGUGCUUUGUAUGUGCAAGGCCCUGAGUUCAAUCCCCAGCAUC